GAUGAACGCUAGCUACAGGCUUAACACAUGCAAGUCGAGGGGAAACGAUGAGAGAGCUUGCUCUCUUAGUCGUCGACCGGCGCACGGGUGAGUAACGCGUAUCCAACCUGCCUCUGACCAAGGGAUAACCCGUCGAAAGUCGGACUAAUACCUUAUGCAGUCGUCGGAAGUCAUCUGAUGACGACGAAAGAUUUCAUCGGUGAGAGAUGGGGAUGCGUCUGAUUAGCUUGUUGGCGGGGUAACGGCCCACCAAGGCGACGAUCAGUAGGGGUUCUGAGAGGAAGGUCCCCCACAUUGGAACUGAGACACGGUCCAAACUCCUACGGGAGGCAGCAGUGAGGAAUAGUGGUCAAUGGGCGUAAGCCUGAACCAGCCAAGUAGCGUGCAGGAUGACGGCCCUAUGGGUUGUAAACUGCUUUUAUGCGGGGAUAAAGUGAGGGACGUGUCCUUCAUUGCAGGUACCGAAUGAAUAAGGACCGGCUAAUUCCGUG
rnacentral:rRNA from 1 species